rnacentral:rRNA from 1 species
UAAAACUGCUAACCUAGAGAUUGAAAGAGGAUAGAGGAAUUCCUAGUGUAGAGGUGAAAUUCGUAAAUAUUAGGAGGAACACCAGUGGCGAAGGCGUCUAUCUGGUUCAAAUCUGACGCUGAGGCGCGAAGGCGUGGGGAGCGAACAGGAUUAGAUACCCUGGUAGUCCACGCUGUAAACGAUGAAUGUUAAAUAUGGGAAGUUUACUUUCUGUAUUACAGCUAACGCGUUAAACAUUCCGCCUGGGGACUACGGUCGCAAGAUUAAAACUCAAAGGAAUUGACGGGGACCCGCACAAGCGGUGGAGCAUGUGGUUUAAUUCGAUGCAACGCGAAAAACCUUACCACUCCUUGACAUGGAAAUUAUACCUAUUCGAAGGGAUAGGGUCGGUUCGGCCGGAUUUCACACAGGUGUUGCAUGGCUGUCGUCAGCUCGUGUCGUGAGAUGUUGGGUUAAGUCCCGCAACGAGCGCAACCCUCAUCCUUAGUUACCAUCAGGUAAUGCUGGGGACUUUAAGGAAACUGCCAGUGAUAAACUGGAGGAAGGUGGGGAUGAUGUCAAGUCAUCAUGGCCCUUAUGGAGUGGGCUACACACGUGCUACAAUGGUGGCUACAAUGGGCUGCAAAGUCGCGAGGCUAAGCUAAUCCCUUAAAAGCCGUCUCAGUUCGGAUUGUACUCUGCAACUCGAGUACAUGAAGUUGGAAUCGCUAGUAAUCGUGGAUCAGCAUGCCACGGUGAAUACGUUCUCGGGUCUUGUACACACUGCCCGUCACGCCAUGGGAAUUGGUUUCACUCGAAGCU